GUCUGCAACUCGACUACAUGAAGCUGGAAUCGCUAGUAAUCGCGGAUCAGAAUGCCGCGGUGAAUACGUUCCCGGGUCUUGUACACACCGCCCGUCACACCAUGGGAGUCGGGAAUGCCCGAAGUCAGUGACCCAACCUUUGGAGGGAGCUGCCGAAGGCAGGUCUGAUAACUGGGGUGAAGUCGUAACAAGGUAAC
rnacentral:rRNA from 1 species